AAUGCAUACGAGAAGAAGGCUGAGAGGUAUGGGGAUUUUGUUGAGGGCUUCGCUUAGGAUGCAAGCAAACUAUGGGGAUAAGAUCACCAGCACAUGCCUAGGCGAGCUAGAGUACUAAUGGUGAUCGGAUAAGAGCAAUGAGACUGCAGGUCUGGGCGCUAGCUGGAGGAGAGGGCUCCGUUUUAUCCAUUGGGCGUGGAUGGGGGCGAUGGGACGCACGUGUCUGGGUGAUGAAGGCAGGCGUGGCGACGGCGACGCGCGUACAUGGGCGAUGGCGCAGCUCCGUGUUUCCUGGAGAGAAUCCAGGAGAGCGGUUAGAGGUGCGGCUUGGCGUGGCGCGGGCCCUGGCACGACGCGGCACGGAAGGGACGACGCUGGCGCGGGCGUGGGUCCGGCACGAUGCGACGCACGGCGCGAUACAACGCGAUGCGGUUGCGGAGCAGCAAGUGCGGUGCGGCUAGGGUUGGGGUCGGACGUGGCUGAGGGGAAGGAGGCGCGGUUGCGGUGCGGCACGGGCGUGACUGGCGUGGCCGGAAGCGAUGUGGUGCACGCGGUAGACGGGAUCGAACGGUUGGCGGACAGUGAAUAGUGGCAGCUGAGAAAAGAGAGAAAAGGAAGAAAAAGGGAAAGGAAGGAAAGGGAGGGGCUAAUUUGCAAAAGUGAAUGGGAUUGAAUUUGAAUUGAAAUGUAAUCAAUAUAUUUUGGUUUUGAGAAUUCAAAUGUUUGAUUUGAAUAUUUAUUUGGUUAUUCAUUA